rnacentral:lncRNA from 1 species
GUUUCCUUCACCUUCUUCUUAACCGAUAAUUCUUUCCCUUUGGUUCGGUCUUCUGUCGUUUUCUAAGUAUUUACUUGUCAAUUUUCUGGUCCGCUUCCUCCAUUUUGUAUCGACAUUCCUCAUGUACAAGUAGCUGAAAACCUUCCUAGCCCAACGCUCCUCCCCCAUUUCUCUCAAUCGCUUCUCAAAUUUUAUCUUGCUGCUAGCUUCCCUGCCCUCAAAUGAUGUCCAUCCCAUAUCACCUUGUACUCCCUGAUUUGGUGUAUUCCCGUGAGCUCCUAAAGCAAG